rnacentral:rRNA from 2 species
ACUUAAAUUGAAGAGUUUGAUCAUGGCUCAGAUUGAACGCUGGCGGCAGGCCUAACACAUGCAAGUCGAGCGGCAGCGGGAAAGUAGCUUGCUACUUUUGCCG